UACGGAGGAUGCAAGCGUUAUCCGGAAUUACUGGGUUUAAAGGGUCCGUAGGCGGGAGAAUAAGUCAGUGGUGAAAGUCUGCAGCUCAACUGUAGAACUGCCAUUGAAACUGGUUUCCUUGAGUCAUGAUGAAGUGGUUAGAAUAUGUAGUGUAGCGGUGAAAUGCAUAGAUAUUACAUAGAAUACCGAUUGCGAAGGCAGAUCACUAAUAAUGUACUGACGCUGAGGGACGAAAGCGUAGGUAGCGAACAGG
rnacentral:misc_RNA from 1 species